rnacentral:rRNA from 1 species
UACGGAGGAUGCGAGCGUUAUCCGGAUUUAUUAGGUUUAAAGGGUGUGUAGGCGGAAGAUUAAGUCAGUGGUGAAAUCUCACAGCUCAACUGUGAAACUGCCAUAGAUACUGGUUUUCUUGAGUACAGUUGAAGUAGGCGGAAUGUGUAAUGUAGCGGUGAAAUGCUUAGAUAUUACACAGAACACCGAUUGCGAAGGCAGCUUGCUAAGCUGUUACUGACGCGGAUGAACGAAAGCGUGGGGAGCGAACAGG